ACAACUUUUCAUUGGUUUGUUGUGAUUUUUAAGGAAUUCCUUGUAUUGAGAUUAUAAAGUUCAUUAAUCCGACGAUCGAUCACUCCUUGAACGUCACAGAUUUUGAAAAUCGACAAAUCUUUUGAGCGACCUGCAAACAAAAUAUCAACUUGCAAUUGAUGCAGCAUUCCGAAAAAAGGAAAUGGCAGCACAGGCCACUUUAGGGGCCGCUUUAGCUGUCAUAAUAAGAAUGUUCGAGGACUCUAUUCUGAGCCAUCUAGCGUCAUCUAGGUGACAUGGGCACCUAUAGUCCUAAUAAGUGGGCAGAUCCUUUGCUCCUGCACAAAUGGCAGCUUGGCGUGGAAGAGGAUAUAGCCGAUGUUAUGCCGGCAACGAAUGUUCAGUCCUGUAAUCCAUUUUAAUCGUUGGCUAUCCCAAUCCGGAGGCACCACAAAACGGCACCCACAUAAUUGGUCCAGCCGCCUUCAACAACAAGGCUGAAAUUUAAAUAGGAGACUACGUUGUUCCUGAUUUGGUAAAAAAGGGAGGAAGAAGAACGACGGAUGCGACUGCAGGAAUUUAAUUUUUAGAGGACCGACCCUCUAGGAUUUUUUACGCAAGAUCCGUACCUAUAUAAUCUUGCUGUCAGCUCAACGACAUGAAAAUAAUCAGAGCCUGCGGAGUGUUCGAUCGAGUCUACAACGCUCUAAGACUAUAUACAUAUAUAAUUCUAAAUCAGCGACAAUCUAAAUAUCAGUUAUGACUUACGACUAAUUCUUUUUGUCCGACUCAUUCUUUAUUUCUUAUGGAAAACACAUAAAACUAAUUGAUUAAGAAAAUCAAUGUAUGAAUAAUAAUGAACAAAUAAAUAUGUAUUUUAUGAGAA